rnacentral:rRNA from 1 species
GUAUCAUGGCUCAGGAUGAACGCUAGCUACAGGCUUAACACAUGCAAGUCGAGGGGGCGAGCAUGUUGGUUUGCUUGCAACCAACGAUGGCGACCGGCGCACGGGUGAGUAACGCGUAUCCAACCUACCCUUGUCCAUCGGAUAACCCGUCGAAAGGCGGCCUAACACGAUAUGCGGUUCUCAGCAGGCAUCUAACGAGAACGAAAUAUAAAGGAGAAAGGAUGGGGGAUGGCGUCUGAUUAG